GAUGAACGCUGGCGGCGUGCCUAAUACAUGCAAGUCGAGCGAACAGACGAGGAGCUUGCUCCUCUGACGUUAGCGGCGGACGGGUGAGUAACACGUGGAUAACCUACCUAUAAGACUGGGAUAACUUCGGGAAACCGGAGCUAAUACCGGAUAAUAUAUUGAACCGCAUGGUUCAAUAGUGAAAGACGGUUUUGCUGUCACUUAUAGAUGGAUCCGCGCCGCAUUAGCUAGUUGGUAAGGUAACGGCUUACCAAGGCAACGAUGCGUAGCCGACCUGAGAGGGUGAUCGGCCACACUGGAACUGAGACACGGUCCAGACUCCUACGGGAGGCAGCAGUAGGGAAUCUUCCGCAAUGGGCGAAAGCCUGACGGAGCAACGCCGCGUGAGUGAUGAAGGUCUUCGGAUCGUAAAACUCUGUUGUUAGGGAAGAACAAAUGUGUAAGUAAAUAUGCACGUCUUGACGGUACCUAAUCAGAAAGCCACGGCUAACUACGUG
rnacentral:rRNA from 1 species